AUGACGUCCGCCACAGCCCCGGUCAUGAAGGUGAGUGGAUCGAAGGUGGAGCGAUACUUGCAAUCCGUGGUGAUGGACAUGUAUGCAAAUAAUCGGACUAAGAUUAGAUGUCCGUGUACAAGAUGCAAAGAAGGAGUCCUUUUGGACCCUUUUGAUCGUGGCACUUUGAAGGCGCACCUGCUAAUGAAUGGUUUCAUGGAUGGCUAUACUCGAUGGAUAAGUGAAGAUGAUGAUGAGGACGUCCACAUGGCAGGGAGUAACGACAUGGGUCUAGACGAAGAGAUGACCGAUCAACACAAAGACGAUGGCGCCGGACAUGGUGGCAAGGAAGAGUCCGGACAUGGCGGCGGUGGAGAAGAGUUCGGACGCGGCGAAGAAGAGUCCGGACACGGUGAAGAAGAGUCCGGACAUGGCGGAGAAGAGGUGGCGGUCGCGCGGCAGUCUUCGAUGCUACUAAGUGCAGUCGUGCACGACCCUCGUGUUCGAGACCUCCUUCGCAAGAGUACGACUAGCGAGAGAGCUGCUUCUAGAGAGGAGGCCAAGCUGGCGUAA
rnacentral:rRNA from 1 species